rnacentral:rRNA from 1 species
UAAGGAAUAUUGGUCAAUGGACGCAAGUCUGAACCAGCCAUGCCGCGUGAAGGAUUAAGGUCCUCUGGAUUGUAAACUUCUUUUCUCUGGGACGAAACCCCCUGUAUCCACAGGGCCUGACGGUACCAGAGGAAUAAGCACCGGCUAACUCCGUGCCAGCAGCCGCGGUAAUACGGAGGGUGCAAGCGUUAUCCGGAUUCACUGGGUUUAAAGGGUGCGUAGGUGGACAUUUAAGUCAGUGGUGAAAUCUUUGGGCUUAACCCGAAAACUGCCAUUGAUACUAUUUGUCUUGAAUUCUCUGGAGGUAAGCGGAAUAUGUCAUGUAGCGGUGAAAUGCUUAGAUAUGACAUAGAACACCCAUUGCGAAGGCAGCUUACUACGGAGACAUUGACACUGAGGCACGAAAGCGUGGGGAUCAAACAGG